GCUGCCUUCGUCCGCUCCGGUCGCAGCCGGCGGCGCCACAACUGUUAUCCUCCCACUCCCACCAGCCGGUUUCGCCCUUUUCGUCGCCAUCCGCUCCUUGUCGCCGUAUUGGAUGAGAAGCUCCACGGUGCCGCCGAGCUCAACCUUGGCAGAUUGAGGGACGGUGUCAACCUCGGCGGCGGAUUGAGGCGGCCCCUCUUCUCCACCCCUUAUCGGUGAACACAGAUGCAAGUGGUGUGGGUCGACGACUGCAGAUCGAGCGAUGAAUAACAUCUCAUUUGGUCAUGGAUCCUGACGGGUGAGAUCUACUCAGCUAUUUUGCAUUCGUGCAUGGUGGGUACCGACUCACCAUCAGCCUCUCCACCACUUACAUUUUCCUGGUUUUUCCUGCUUAGCAGAGUUUGAUCGUUGCGAAGUCUCUAGGCCGCAUCCCGUGCAGCUGAGCGCAACUGGCGCUCUGGAGACUCGGAUCUGGUGUACCUGCGGGUCAGCCAUCGUUUAGAGAGCAAUCUUCUUUAUACUGGAAGAGAAAUCAUGGCAUCUAUGGAAGACAUUGGAAGUGCAUUAAUCCCCCUAGUGGGUAUUGGUGAUUAAUGACAAAUGUGGUUAAGAGAUUAAUGAGUUUAUUGAGCUACUUUCAGAUGCAUUAGUCCAAGGUGUGGAAGGUGGAUGCUUGGAGACCCCCC